rnacentral:rRNA from 1 species
GGAAUAUUGGACAAUGGGGGAAACCCUGAUCCAGCGACGCCGCGUGGGUGAUGAAGGCUUUCGGGUCGUAAAGCCCUGUCAGGAGGAAAGAACGAUCCUAUGGCAAAUACCCAUAGGAAGUGACGGUACCUCCCAAGGAAGCACCGGCACACUCCGUGCCAGCAGCCGCGGUAAGACGGAGGGUGCAAGCGUUGCUCGGAAUCACUGGGCGUAAAGGGUGCGUAGGCGGCUUUUCAAGUCUGGCGUGAAAGCCCAGGGCUCAGCCCUGGAAGUGCGCUAGAAACGGGAAAGCUUGAGUGUCGGAGGGGAGAGUGGAAUUCCUGGUGUAGCGGUGAAAUGCGUAGAUAUCAGGAGGAAUACCGGUGGCGAAAGCGACUCUCUAGACGACAACUGACGCUGAGGCACGAAAGCGUGGGGAGCAAAC